rnacentral:rRNA from 1 species
AACGAACGCUGGCGGCAGGCUUAACACAUGCAAGUCGAGCGCCCCGCAAGGGGGGCGGCAGACGGGUGAGUACCGCGUGGGAACGUACCUUUUGGUUCGGAACAACUCCGGGAAACUGGAGCGAAUACCGGAUAAGCCCUAACGGGGAAAGAUUUAUCGCCGAAAGAUCGGCCCGCGACUGAUUAGCUAGUUGGUGGGGUAACGGCUCACCAAGGCGACGAACAGUAGCUGGUCUGAGAGGAUGAUCAGCCACCCUGGGACUGAGACACGGCCCAGACUCCUACGGGAGGCAGCAGUGGGGAAUAUUGGACAAUGGGCGCAAGCCUGAUCCAGCCAUGCCGCGUGAGUGAUGAAGGCCUUAGGGUUGUAAAGCUCUGUUGUCCGGGAAGAUAAUGACGGUACCGGAAGAAUAAGCCCCGGCUAACUUCGUG